rnacentral:tRNA from 1 species
AUUCUUAAAGUAAUAUUUACACUUUAACUUCGAAUUAAAUUAUUGAUUUAAUAUAUUAAAUCUAAGAAUU